GCUUUUCCCAGUCCUUUUGAUUAAUUUGCCAAUAGAUAUGUAAGCAUCUUGAAAGGUCAUAAAGAUUAGAAACCUGGUGAAGAUUUUUUUGUUUUGUAAAGUUACAAGUCAAGGUUUUUUGUGGGCCUGCAGAGCAGCAGCACAGCAGGCAAGGCUGACCUCCUCCUACUAAAUAACCACAGAGAUGAUUGAAACAUGUCUAAUUAGCCUCCCAAACACUGAGCUAGCUCUCCAGUGCAUGUGUCGGCCUCAUUAUCAAUGUUUACAUCCCUGGAAAGUAUAGUGUCAAGGAGGUGAAUGGAGAGAAAAAACCAGCCCUUUCCAAAAGUUAUGACCCAAAACUCUUCAAAAGACUGUCAUCCCAAGGUCCAAUCAAGGUUACCAUAUUCAUCAUCAUUAAAAGAAGAUCACUGGUCCAGAGCUAAUCAAAUACCCCACUUUUAUCAGCCUAGACCCAAAGUAUUACAACUUCCAAAGCCAAAGUUCACACUUGUAGAACCCUGGAAAGACAAGGAAAAAAGCCAGGAACUAUCCUACAAUCAGAAAAUGGCUGACCUGUUACCCUAUCUUGAUAGUUGGAAUAUGGCUAAACCACCCAUACUCCAGAAAUGCCAUUAUAUGGCCACAGUUUUGCCUUCGAUAUAUCAGGAGUACAGUAUUAAGAGAAUUUUUUUAAGUUUGCCAACCCCAGAAUAAAAUGUGAAAUCUCAACUCAGA